GUAGCUAUAGGUAAGGUACCCAAGGCAUGCCUUAGCUUCCCAGGGCAGCACUUAGGCAACAUGGCCUAAAGCUCACUCAACAGCCUCUACGAAAGUAGAGUGAAAUCACUGCAGAGGUGGAGACAAAUUUGAGCUUAUGAUGUACAGCAGGAAACAAAUUAGGUUCGGAGUACAUUAUGAGCUGCAAAUUAUGAGCAAUCAUACUGUAAUGGGCCAGCUCGAGUCUGGCACAGCACUGCAGAGCACAGAGUCAACUGGGACAUUCCUGACAUAGCAAUUCUCUUGUAAAGGUCUACAUGGAGCAAAAUGGUGCUGUGGAUUGUGUCCACCCAUCCCAGAAUCACAGGACCUGUUCCCUUCCCAGAGAGCAUCCAGACAGCUCAUCCCACCACCCACCUUUGCUGUGGAGCCUGACCGAGAGGGGGUCAGAAGGAGGUCCUAGGCUGGCACAGUGAUAGGCCAGCACUUCCAGGCUGUAGUCCUUGUUGAAUGCCAGGUUUGUCAGGCCCUCCCAUCCAAUACUCACCUUGGCACUCUGUGACCAUGACAGCUUGUGGUCCUGUGGCACCUUCUCCUCCAUCUCCAGGGCGUGUUAACUGAACCUUAACAAGUGACCUUGAAUUUGCCACUGUCCUGCCCACCUGUGGUGGAGACUCGGCAUUCCCAGAAGCCAGUGUCAGAGAGGACAAGCGGUGGCACUUGAAACUCACAGUGCUGCCCAUGCCAACCAGAUGGGCAGAUGCACCCACUGAACCGGUUACAAGUGCCUCCAUUCUGGCAGUGACACUCCAGGGCACAGUCUGGGCCAUAUUUCCCACGGUGACAAGCUAUGGGAAGAACACAGAAAUUGGCCCAGCUCAGCUUCUCAUCAUAUCUCCAGAGACUGCACUUAGAAGACUUCUGACAGAUUCCACUUCUGGUACUUAAAAUGCUUUUGAACUUUCCCCCUGUUGUUGUUUUGUAUGUGUGGUGGUCAGAAACACAGUUUUAACUUGUAAAGGUGCUUGAAUCUGGUUGUUUUCACUGAGAGAUAGAUUUCCAAUCACAUUUCAACCUUCUUGAACUUUUUGUGUCACCUAUGGAGAUAUUUAUCUAAAAUGAAUAGCAUCUUGAGUCCUCUACACAUCAUGUUUUUCCAACAGAGGCUUACACAUUUGAUUCCCCCCAUCCCUCACAUUUUAAACUCACAGAAUGGGGGAAAUGUCAAUUUCACUGAUAAUAGACAGACUUCACCUUUCUAUCUCUUUCCUUGCCUUCAUUAAUUUUGGUGCUUGGAAGACGGAAGAACGAGGGCUUCCCCUCUGUUUUUCCUUUGUAAGGAAAAAGAACAUGUACAUGCACCAGUGCUAGUGCAGCAGUAAUAUCUCAAUUUAAAAAAAAAACUGAUGAGAGUUCAAUAAAGUUAGCAAUUCUUUUCUCCAGUCUUCUCGGGUUCAUAGGGUAAGGGGAUGGGACUGGUGAAAGAAAUUUAGUCAGGAGGGCUUGAAGGAUCCUGUGGGGAUGCAUCUGAGUUUCAUCACAGAGUGGUAUGAGCCAGCAUCCAGCACAAGCCUUCUUAUGCAUAAGUUGGUAGGGGUUGUGGUGACAUUUAAAACAGGGAAUGCAGAAAUUGUAAAGAGUGGUGAUGUGCAGUAACUAAAGUGAGGAGGAUUCUCAAGGGAUGAUUAAAACACUUUAAAAUGCAAGUGUGAUUUUGACCUUACAAGUCAAGGGUGGUUUGAAGGAGAAGCAGAAGAUGCAUGCAGAGAAAGAAAGUGUACAUCACUCUUCUCUUGGGUUUGAACCACAGAGGAACAGAGGAAGCUCCAUAGAGUACGGUGCCUGAAAUAUGUUAAGCCCAUUCUCAUGAUCGAAAACUGGGUAGGAGGAGCAUCCAGCCAGGAUCCCAGACCCACAUGCGCUGCUGAGAACCAGUUGUAUGUUGGCAAAUAUCGAGGUAAAAGGAUGGGGAAAUGAUAAUCUGCUAGCCCCGAUAUGGAUAGGGUGGCGGCAGCCUACCCACACUGUGUACCCAGCACUGUAUCGAGGGUGGAGGAAAAGCCACAUCCGGUGCCAUCGUAUCCAGAUUGCAGCUAGCACACAAUCACUUUCCCAUCAUCCCACCUUGCUUUUUUUCUGACACAUUACCCAUUCGCGGGAGCGUGCACACAGGUCUGGGAUCCUGGCUGGAUGCUCCUCCCACCUAGUUUUUGGUCAUGAGAAUGGGCCCUAUGUCCUCAGGGGCUAUGGGAAGUUUAGCUCUCCUAGGAGCAUUUUCCCUCCCCACAAACAGAGAGCACUCCUUUCAGGAAAAGAGGAUCUAGAAUCCGAGACAAUAAGUCAUAAAAGGGAAGAUAUUCCUUUAAGUUUCUCUUUGCUAUGGAACGUCUUGCUCACAAGGACCAUUCUUGUGGGGAUGCUGGGGCCAAGCAGGGGGGAAAGAUUCCACCGAAACAAAGGGAGGAAGCGACUCUCUCCUGGCUGCCAGCCAGGCAGAGUCUCAGCAGAGAGAGCAAUUGAAGCUGGAUAAAAAUACUAUUACUAAGCAACAUGUUAGUAUUCCUUUGACACGCAGGAGUGGCUCUUGGGACUGCUUUUCCACAUACAGGUUUUCAGGAAACUGUGCGGCAAUUAAUAACUCUGUAGGUAGCAACAAUGGAACAGAAUGUUUACAAGAAAACAUUGAUGAUGUUUUCUACUGGAAUCCCGGGAGACUGUUCCAAUCAUGGUUCUAGUCUAUACCUCCUCCCAUGGCUUCGCCACACUUCAGUGUCUUAAUUCUCACAGACAACUUUUCUGGUGCAUUAAACGAAUCAGUUAUACAACAUCAAGUUCACAUAUUUUGUCUGAAUACUCCCUUGUAUGCUGAGAACUGGCAUAAAUCAUGGCAAGGCAAUUUCUAGUACUUACUGUAGACAUUUGUCCUGAUAUGGUACACAUUUGCUUUCCCCAACACAAGUGCACUUUCAAACAUUUUUUCACCAUGUGAAACUUGGUGAAUGUCAUGCAAUUUGGUAUCGUGCAGUCAUCUUGUGGUGACUUUGUUGUAUGUAAAAGUCAUAGGAGAAUCAGAUCUCAGUUGUUGUCAUGUUAUCUUUAUGUGUCUCAGUUGCUGCUCAGUUGCUGCUUUGCAAAUCAGUUUAUCAAUUCAGGCAACCUGAAGCUUCAGUUUAUCAAUAAAUUACAUCACUGGCAUGUGAAAAGGGAGCUACAGAAC